rnacentral:rRNA from 1 species
GCGACAGGCCUAACACAUGCAAGCAGGGGCAGCACAAGGAGCAAUCUGAGGUGGCGACCGGCGGCACGGGUGAGUAACACGUAUGCAACCUGCCUGUAAGCGGGGAAUAACCCGUUGAAAGACGGACUAAUACCGCAUAAUACUAAAUUACUGCAUGGUAAUUUAUUUAAACAUUUAUGGCUUACAGAUGGGCAUGCGCAUGAUUAGCUAGUUGGAGAGGUAACGGCUCCCCAAGGCAACGAUCAUUAGGGGUUCUGAGAGGAAGGUCCCCCCACACUGGUACUGAGACACGGACCAGACUCCUACGGGAGGCAGCAGUGAGGAAUAUUGGUCAAUGGACGAGAGUCUGAACCAGCCAAGUCGCGUGCAGGAAGAAUUGUCCUAUGGAUUGUAAACUGCUUUUGCAGGGGAAUAAAGUGCAUCACGUGUGAUGUUUUGUAUGUACUCUGCGAAUAAGGAUCGGCUAACUCCGUGCCAGCCGCCGC